CUCUGGCCUCAAAUCAGGUAGGAUUACCCGCUGAACUUAAGCAUAUCAAUAAGCGGAGGAAAAGAAACUAACAAGGAUUCCCCUAGUAACGGCGAGUGAAGCGGGAAGAGCUCAAAUUUGAAAGCUGUUGCCUUUGGUAUCCGCAUUGUAAUCUCGAGAUCUGUUUUCCGCGCUGGACCAUGUACAAGUCCCUUGGAAUAGGGCGUCAUAGAGGGUGAGAAUCCCGUACUUGACAUGGCCUCCCAGUGCUUUGUGAUACAGGCUCAACGAGUCGAGUUGUUUGGGAAUGCAGCUCAAAAUGGGUGGUAAAUUCCAUCUAAAGCUAAAUAUUGGGGAGAGACCGAUAGCGAACAAGUACCGUGAGGAGAAGAUGAAAAGCACUUUGGAAAGAGAGUUAAACAGUACGUGAAAUUGUCAAAGAGGGAACCGUUUAAAGUUAGUCAUGCUUGCCUGGACUCAGCCUUGCUUUUGCUUGGUGCAUUUAUCAGGUUGGCAGGUCAGCAUCGGUUUUGACUGCUGGAUAAGGGUGAGAGGAAUGUGGCACCUCCGGGUGUGUUAUAGCCUUGCACUGGAUGCAGCAGAGGGGACCGAGGAACGCAGCGCGCCUCUAUGCCGGACCUUAGGGUACCUUCGCGCUUAGGAUGCUGGCAUAAUAGCUUUAAGCGACCCGACUUGAAACACGGACCA
rnacentral:rRNA from 1 species